rnacentral:rRNA from 1 species
AACGAACGCUGGCGGCAGGCCUAACACAUGCAAGUCGAACGCCCCGCAAGGGGAGUGGCAGACGGGUGAGUAACGCGUGGGAACCUACCCAGUGGUACGGAACAACCCAGGGAAACUUGGGCUAAUACCGUAUACGCCCCUAGGGGGAAAGAUUUAUCGCCAUUGGACGGGCCCGCGUUGGAUUAGCUAGUUGGUGGGGUAAUGGCCUACCAAGGCAACGAUCCAUAGCUGGUCUGAGAGGAUGAUCAGCCACACUGGGACUGAGACACGGCCCAGACUCCUACGGGAGGCAGCAGUGGGGAAUCUUGGACAAUGGGCGCAAGCCUGAUCCAGCCAUGCCGCGUGAGUGAAGAAGGCCCUAGGGUUGUAAAGCUCUUUCGGCGGGGACGAUAAUGACGGUACCCGCAGAAGAAGCCCCGGCUAACUCCGUGCCAGCCGCCGCCGUAACAC